AGCGAACGCUGGCGGCAGGCCUAACACAUGCAAGUCGAACGGAUCCUUCGGGAUUAGUGGCGGACGGGUGAGUAACACGUGGGAACGUGCCCUUUGGUUCGGAACAACUCAGGGAAACUUGAGCUAAUACCGGAUGUGCCCUUCGGGGGAAAGAUUUAUCGCCAUUGGAGCGGCCCGCGUCUGAUUAGCUAGUUGGUGAGGUAACGGCCCACCAAGGCGACGAUCAGUAGCUGGUCUGAGAGGAUGAUCAGCCACACUGGGACUGAGACACGGCCCAGACUCCUACGGGAGGCAGCAGUGGGGAAUCUUGCGCAAUGGGCGAAAGCCUGACGCAGCCAUGCCGCGUGAAUGAUGAAGGUCUUAGGAUUGUAAAAUUUUUUCAGCGGGGACGAUAAUGACGGUACCCGCAGAAGAAGCUCCGGCUAACUUCGUG
rnacentral:rRNA from 1 species